AGUGAAAUAUGGUGCGAGGUUGUGGUUCGUGUUAAUGGUGGUAUGAUUGGUGGGCAUGGGUUUUGGUUUAGGAUAAGAUUGCAUUGUCUUAUUCGAAGACCAAAAGAACAAAAUGGGUAAAUGUAGAAGGUUUCAAGUAACGAUAAAAGAUAAUAAAAACCAUAACCCCAAUUCAAGACAAUCAGAAUCAGAGAGGUCAUCUCCGUCUUUUCUAUCAUGCCUUCUUGUUUGCUACCUAAGUCGUCGGGCCUAUCUUCUCCCAUUCAGAUCUGAAAGUCCGUCGUAUUAAGUGGAUGAAAUCCUGAAUGUUGAUGUCAGCGAUUAUCAUUCGAGUGUGGAGUCUGGUGGGACAAUUAUAGGAAGCAUACCUAGACGUUGGAAAAAAUAUUACUGCUGGACUGUAUGGGAUGACAGAUGCGGACGCAAAACCAAUAUUGUUCUGCCAUAGGCAAUUCAGUUGGUGUGUAUCAAUUGGCAAGGUAUACUUUCCUGUAAUGGAGGUGCUUCUUGUAUGGCCUCGUCAAUUGUAAAUGUUGAUGAGAAGUAGGUAUGAUCAGAAUUAACAUUUGCGUGUGAACUUGUUAUGAAGUCAAAAAUUUCUUUUGAAACGUAAUGCUAUUUAGUAAAAUUUUAAAACAAGACACAAUACUCAGGACCCAUUUAAAUUUCCAUGUUUCAUGUUCAAAAUAAAAUGUUAGCAACAUGUGGACAGACCUGAAACUACUAACAGGCUAUUCAGUUUUCUCAGUCGCUUGUAACUAAUUAAAUGAGCACGUGUUGCCGAACACAAUAGGUGGCAUAAAUUUUGAUAAAAGAAUUAUUGUAAUGGAAUUCCAAAACUUGAAUAUCAUCAGAUGUACCAGCCAGGGAUGGAAUAGAAGUAAAAUAGAGGAAGAUAGAAGAUUUUAGCAUUUGUUUGAAUGAAGGUCAUUACGGAGUUGUGGAGUUAUCGAUGUUAAAGCAAAAUUAUUUCGUUGUUUUUUUAGUAUGGGGAAUUUAAAUUUAAAUUCCUGGUGAUCCAUUCGAGUGACUCCGAAAUUGAUUAUUUAAGUUUGAUAAGUUUGCAUGAAGAUGACCGUCAUAUGGGAAAUAAUUUUUCUAUUUAUAUGGGGGCCAUCAAUAUGGAAACCUCUGAAACUCGAGUAAUCAAUUUCGGAAGCACUUGAACGAAUCGCCAUGGAUUUAAAUUUAGAUUCUCCUUUGUACUUAAAUGCCACGAAAAACUCUUGCAUUAAUUCCAAUAAGUCUACAACUCUGUCUCAACCUUCGUUCAUUCAAACACUAUCAUUUUCUUUCUUGCUCCAUUUUACUUCUAUUUCAUCCCCAAUUGGUACUUCCAACGAUAUCGGAUUCCGUAGGCUUUUCCAAUAUUUCUCUUAAAAAAAAUAGAUGCUACCUCGUGAUGUUGGCAACACGUUGUAUCUCAAUUAUUAACCGCUACGUUGUUAGUACGAUAUCCACAAUGUUAAUUAGUGUUGAUAUGAUUACACGGGGACUGCCUUUCAGAAGAAUAGGAAUGCACAAAAUUGAAACUGAUCUGAUUUAUAAUCCAUUUUUCUGUCGACGAAUUACGUAAUAGAAAUUAAAAAGGGAGUAACUUUUGUUAAUGUACACGUCUUUGUUGCUCACUACAUGAGGAGGAGGCACACAAGUGGGGAUAACAAGAGGCUGCGUGCGCAUGUUAGGUUCAUGGAUUAGACGAGGAAGAAUAGCAAGGUUAUGGCUUUAUGUUCUUUGGUCUUUCGGGUAGCAAUCAUGUUUUUCUCAAGCUUCAGCGAGACAUUAUGCAAUUUCAAGUGACCAAAUUUCACACACGGGAGAGACAUUCUGUGCAACAUGCAAAGCAGAUUUUGUUGGAGAGUGUUUUUCGGACGGGAAGAAAGGCAGUCGUGAUAACAAGGUGACUCGAAUAAAUUUCAAUUUGGUCGUAGAUAAACUUGACAAACAAAUACAAAGACAGACUAUCAGACUCAAACGAUGAGUAACAUCCUGUGAAUAUGGUAUGGUGUUUCCCAACUCCGGUCUAGUUUCAUUCAAGAAAGAGAAAGGAAGGAGCCAGCCAUAAGUUGAAACACACUCUAUUCUUUCCCCCCAAGUUUUGAUCAUCUGACAGUGGAGACGGAUGUCAACGAGAAAGGGGGAUAAAGCCGUGUACACCUGCGAAAAAGGUACCCGACAUUAACGUUUUGUAGAAAUAUGAUGAAUGCUGAAUGUUUGCAUUCCUUUGUAAAGUGGGAAUUUUCAUGGUUUAUACGUACUUUGAGUGUACGAAACAAACUAGAGCUUUCGGUUGUUUAUUUCAAGAACGUCGUUAUCGAAA